rnacentral:rRNA from 1 species
CCUACGGGGGGCAGCAGUGAGGAAUAUUGGUCAAUGGGAGAGAUCCUGAACCAGCCAAGCCGCGUGAGGGAAGACGGCCCUAUGGGUUGUAAACCUCUUUUGUCGGAGAACAAAACCCGGGACGUGUCCCGGACUGCGUGUAUCCGAAGAAAAAGCAUCGGCUAACUCCGGGCCAGCAGCCGCGGUAAUACGGAGGAUGCGAGCGUUAUCCGGUUUUAUUGGGGUUAAAGGGUGCGUAGGCGGUCCGUUAAGUCAGCGGGAAAAUUGCGGGGCUCAACCCCGUCGAGCCGUUGAAACUGGCAGACUUGAGUUGGCGAGAGGUACGCGGAAUGCGCGGUGUAGCGGUGAAAUGCAUAGAUAUCGCGCAGAACUCCGGUUGCGAAGGCAGCGUACCGGCGCCAGACUGACGCUGAGGCACGAAAGCGUGGGGAUCGAACAGGAUUAGAUACCCUAGUAGUC